CAGCAGCCGCGGUAAUACGGAGGAUCCAAGCGUUAUCCGGAAUCAUUGGGUUUAAAGGGUCCGUAGGCGGUCUUGUAAGUCAGUGGUGAAAGCCCAUCGCUCAACGGUGGAACGGCCAUUGAUACUGCAGGACUUGAAUUAUUGGGAAGUAACUAGAAUAUGUAGUGUAGCGGUGAAAUGCUUAGAGAUUACAUGGAAUACCAAUUGCGAAGGCAGGUUACUACCAAUUGAUUGACGCUGAUGGACGAAAGCGUGGGUAGCGAAAAGGAUUAGAUACCCCCGUAGUCCCUGUCUCUUAUAC
rnacentral:rRNA from 1 species